UCUUGGCAUGACGUCACACAGGGGAGGGGGCAAGGCACGAUGGGAAGAGGGCAGCUACGAUACAUAAUAGCUGCUGAGCUAGCGGGAGACCUGUCACCCACAUUAUCAGAUUCCGGGGGUACAUAAUAGCUGCUGAGCUAGCGGGAGACCUGUCACCCACAUUAUCAGAUUCCGGGACAAGAAUCGAAUCAGUCUUCCCAUCAGCCUCCAGCCCGGACCCCCGGACGGCGCAGCGGAUUCUGUCCUCCUCCUCCUCCUCCUCCUCCUCCUCCUCCUCCUCCCGAGCAUCUGCGUUAUUUGCUGCACCUGCUAGUUAUCUCCAGACUGCCAGUUCACCCACAGAAAUUGUAAGCUCCCUGAAGGCGAAGGCGAAGACUUUACAGACAGAAGUCUCACAGCAGUUAGUGCACACGAGCACGAGGCGGUCAAAUACGUGAAGGUCAUGAUGUUUUUAAAAGUCACGCAGAGGAUUAAAAAAUAAGGAUAAAAGGGGCCAUCGGUAUACAGUGGACAAGUACAUCUCCCAUACAAACCUAGAUACAGUGAUAGACCGAGCAUAAUAAGCAUGGCUUCUGCCCACUGCCCUCAGCGUAGACCGCCACUUUCAAAAACAGCUUAAGCAUUCACAAGGCGGAUCGCCACGCUUAGCGGUGCUGUAAUGUAUUUAUCUCUAAAGAGCCUCCAGUGCUGCCACUGUUGCCCAAGAGGGAGGAGAAAGGAGCAGUGAAGGACAUCGGCAACGCCUAAACUCAGACACCGAGUCAGUAUCUGAAAAAAGGGGCGAGCAGCCUGGAGACUGCAGCCUUACACAGGUGCGCAAAAAAGUCAAUCUCACGUCAGGCGCGGUGGCCCACGCCUGUAAUAUCAGCACUCUGGGAGGGGGAGCCAGGGGGACCGAAAAUUCAGAGCCCAGUGUGGGCAGCUUAGCAACUUGCUGAGACCCUGUCUCGAAAUGAAAGGGGCUAGGGAUGUAGCUCAGUGUGAAGGCCCCGGUUCAAUCCCCAGGCAAUACCAGGGGGAAAAAAAAGAAUUUACGUUAAACCUUUCAUCUUCAGUUGGGUUAUUUAUGCGGCAGUGGUUAGCCGUCCAUGUUCCAAGUGUAACCCUGGUAGAUUAUGCCAAAGCUUGGGCAGGCAGAUCCAAAUAGCCCCGACCGCCUCUCUCUACCCCGCAGAGGACCCCGCUGGAAGCUAACCAGUGCCCGAGCAGCUGGCCAAGUUCUCAGCUGUCCACUUUCUGCCCCUCAUCGGGCCAUCAUGCUGUCCUCCCUGCAUUUGGAACACCCACCAGUUUAGUGAACGCUAUUUUGCUUAAAUAUCUUUUAUACCCCAUUAGUUAACUUUUCAGCAAAUUCUGCUUUCUUCCCACCCUUUUUAAUAUAAACAUUUGAUGAGAAGUAAAGAUGCUGGAGAUCAGGGAAGGGCUUUGAAUUUAUAUCACCUUUUAGGAAAUGGUGAAGUUUUGCUGUAGUUAGUUACCAUGACCACAGCAUGGUGGGUGCUCUGUGAAAGUAUUUUCUCGUGGAUUGAGAAUAAAAGUGAAGUCGCAUCCCUAAACGCAUCAGGAAGACUGUACCAGAAAUACAUCCUGUACAAUAAAUACUGUGUACUAGAAAGGUACAUGAACCUCAGAAGAUUAUAGAAAUGGCCAACAAGAGACACGGACACACAAUCACAAUACGCAUCUACUGGCAGUAAAUUUCAGCUCUUACCUCGCCCCGUAAACAAUUUCACUCCUUUUCCGGAUGGUCCCAAAUCACGGAUAAUCAGCCACCAGUACUUCUCAAGGUAACACGCCUCCGAUGAGGAAUCACAGCCAUUUUCUGUUUCGGGAGAGCAGUGCCUACAAUCUUAAAUUUGAGGUCUUCCCCUUUCCCACUCAACAGCCAAAGCAGUCACUCUUCCUUUCUCUCAAUAAUCUGCAUUUCAUCUACAUUUGAAUCCCAGGAGCCCGAGAGGGAUGGGGGAUGGGGCUUUCAAGACGAAAGGAACCAAAAAUCCAGUAACCACUACUCUCCAAGCCAAAGGCAUUGUAAGUUUGGGUGUCUGGGAAAAGCUGCUGAUCUUGAGUCCUCUUUCAGCACUUCCUACCCUCCUAAGCAUCUUGGUCGCCUGCUCCAAAACUCAAAAUUUAAUUGUGGUUUUGAUGAAGAAAAGAUCAAUGUUUGUUUAAAUACACUGAAGCUAAAAAGGAAAUUAAAUACUGUUCUUGUUAUGGGAUCCCCACUCCGUAAAACUUGCUGGAAUUCCCUCACCCAGUCAUCUACUCAAAGGAAAGUAAGAACGAAUCCAACCUAAGAUGCAAGAGGAAUCAGAGCACCAGUCAUAAGAUGAAUUCAGAUGCGAGGGCCUUCUUUGAACUUGAAGCCAAGCAGUUUUUCCUUCCCCAAGGGUUUAAACUGGAUACCAGUGCCCUUUUCUGGCUCCUGGUUUCAGCUGCUGUUUCCUUCCCUGGUCCAAUAGUCAAUUUCCCCAUUUCAGCUGGCAGCCUCUCCCUGCCUCUCUCUGUCCUGGCCCUUGGGUAUCAUUUCUCUCUUUCGUGUCAACGCCAGUGGCCAGCUGCCCCACUGCUGCUUUCUGGCCACAUACCACCAUUUAUUUAACUCUUUGCCCUAUGGAUGGCAAAUCUGAGACUUCUUAACAUUUGAUUUCAUCAAUGUCUUCUUGGGCAGAGGUACUACCACUGCUCAAAACCGAGAAAUUUACAGCUAAGGGCCAUUUUCUUUGUCAUCUCAAUGUAACUUUAUCUAUGUAUCUCUUUCUGUUUCUCUGUGUCUGGCAGUUUAUGUCAGGUGGGCUUACACUCGCUAUGUAGACCAGGCUGGACGUGAACUCCGAAGCCUCUUGCCCUAGCCUCCCAAGUGCUGGGAUUACAGGCAUGCUCCUCCACACCCAGCUGGAUCUACCUGCAGUUCUUUUUUUAUUUAGCUGAUGGUGAUUCUAUCCAAAAGAUCUUUGUAAUAUGUAUUUUUUUUCUGGUACCAGUGAUCAAACUCAGGACCUUGUGCUUGCCAGGCAGGCAUGGCACCACUGAGCUAAAUCCCUGGCCCUGUAAUGUGUAUUUUUGUCCCUUCUUUUAACUGGAGUAACUGAUCAAGAGCAAGGUAGUUUUCUUAUUAAUGACUGUGUACAUUUCCCCAACUUCUGGAGAGAGAAGAGACCAAAAGUCAUAAAGAGCAAAGAGCCGCAAGACACUACCACUACUUUUUGAUCGACUUGAUAUCAGAGAAGUAACGAAUUCAUUGUGAACUCUCAAUAAAACCAGCAAAGUUCCAGGAAUCAAACUCAGGACCUUGUGCUUGCCAGGCAGCCGAGGCCCCGCUGAGCCACUUCCCUGGCUGCCCUUCAUUUUUUGCUGUGCCCUAACUUUCAUCUUGGAAUCAUUUUCCUGCUGCUUGAAGAACUACUUGAAGGACGACGUGAACUGCUUGAAGGAUUUACAAGGAAGUGAGUUGAGAACAACGAGGGAAGAAUGGGACCAGAGCCACAGAUACCAUGCAAGCACUGCUUAGAUUACUGGCUGGAGCGGAAGGUCCCUGGGACCUCAGCUAGCAUCGUGUAAGUGGUCACCAUCAGCUUCAUGGGGAAGAGCACUUGCACCAAAAAGUAUUUCUGCAGCAGACCCACCCACGGUGCUUAACAUUCCUACAUCGAAUUUGAGACACAGCUUCGAGAGGAUCUAUUUGAAGGUGGAUUUAUCUUAACUGUAACUGGGGAGUGCUCAAUCUGGGUCUUCAUCUGCCCCUCAGAGCUUGUCUUAAAUUAGCCGUCAUGUUGUGGAAUUUUUAGGAAGUGUAGAAAAUGGUUGGGAGCAAACAUUAGUUUUGCCACAGCUACUUGGAACAUUUCUACACAGAUCAGUAUGAUAACAUAGUUGGGUUGGGUCGGGUCUACAGUUGCAUAACAUUUGAUAAAUUGUGAACAUGUUAAUAUUUCCACAUCAAGGAAUGGAGCAUUGCCAACAGACUAUAGUUUGGGGUGGGAUGGAGCUGGGAGAUGGGCUGUUUGGGAGAGAACGCAAGAAAAAAGUGUGGGGUGAAGCCAUACUGAUUCAUCUAUUUUUCAGAAAGUCAGGUUUCCAUCUACAUGAAGCCCAUAUGUUCUCCGCUUUACUACAGAUCUUUCAACCCAGAAUUUUCCUUUCUUGUCAAGCUUCUUUGGUCCCUUUAUGCUAAUUUCCUCCUAGCUUAGGUCCAGAUUUCUCACUCCAAAUAGCUUACUUUUACAUAUACCUUCCUCUAGGCCAGAAAUAGCCUCUCCUUUGCUUUGCUGAAGCUUCCUGUCCUUUCUCUGUUCCUUGCCAAAUCCACGAAUAUUCCUCUAAGCAAGGCAAACUUUUUUCUGACCAAUCUAAAAAGAACUGAUGCUUUCAGCAUUUACUGCUGAGCCUGUCAACUGCAUAGUCCUCUGAAAGCAGCAUAAACGUUCAUUUAUUCUUGGGUAUGUUUUCUACUUGAAUCAUCAUUUCUUUCUUUUUUUGUAUUGCUAUGCUGUUCUCUGUCUUGGUCCUUGCGUGUGUUUGGAUGCAUUGCCGCUGCUCUGCUUUAGCAAGAAGGCCCCCAAAGGGGACUUAGGCAACACAGGACAUAGGAGUCCGCCAUGAUGAUGUGGUCAAACACUGGUCGCUCAGUACCGCAUUUCUACCACCAAUGUUCAUGGGACACUGAGUGGGAGCAUAUUCUUUCUUGAGUACAAGAGCAUUGGCUAUCCAGCUGAGGUCGGUUCAGUGGGGGAAAAGCUAUUCCGACCCCCAGGUUGACUGUCUACCGUCAGCAGAAGAAACAACAGACUUGCGUUCAAGAAUUGGGGUACAGUAAAACAGGGAUAAUUUGUCCAAGAAAAGUGAUUUGUGGAAAAGUUAUUUUUAGUUAUUGGUCCUAAAGUUUCAAAAAUAAAAGAUCAAUAAGCUCUUUCAGUUUAAGGGCUAGGAUCUGAAAAGUUGCCAAAAAUAAAACAUUGAAAGCAUUUUAAAUGUCUUAUGGAUAAGCACAACUAAAUAAAUUAUGGUAUAUCUAUACAGUAAACUAGUAGCCCUUAAAACAGAUGUUUAUGAGAUUUUAAAUGAGAUGGAGAGAUAUAUAUGUUUUACUAUUAACCUAAAGAGUUUGACCACAGUGUGUAAAAUAUCUAUGGAAGAAAACACAUAAGAAAAAUUUUAAGAAGACUUACUCAUUUUCAUUAGGAAAGAAAAUGAGGUGACUGCAGAAUAUCAGAAGGAGUACCUUUAUACUUGCUUGUUCUUUCUGAGCUUUAGAAUGUGUAAAUAUUACAUUAAAAAAAAAAUAAGAUGCAGAAGUAAAAUAAAGAAUUAGGAAAUGUAAAGUAUAAUUUCAACUAUGUAAAAAUAUAAACAAAAAAUAUCUAGCAGAAAUAUCCUAAAAUAUCACCAAUUAUUUCUCUGUACAUAGAGUAU